rnacentral:rRNA from 1 species
AUGCGUUUUCCGCCAAGCCAAAUCUUGGAGAAAACAACCAAGGAAAAAGGGAAAGGUGGUAAAUCUGGAUCCGGAGGAGCAAAAAGAUCAGGAACACAACCCAUUUGUGGCGAACAUGAUGUCGCCAAAAAGAAAACACAUGUUGCUGUGAAGGUACAUGCCAAAAGAAAAAGCAAAGAGGUUGCUGAAAUUACUCCACACCUUCCUAUGGUGCCACUUGACAGCCCUGCAAUGGGUACACGCAGCAAGAAAUUCAACCCUGCUAGCCCUGCAAUGAGCACACGAAGCAAAAGGAGACUUAGUUUGUGA